rnacentral:lncRNA from 10 species
CCCUGGCGGCGGGCGCACUGCUCGCACGCUCGCCCUGGGGCUGCAGAUCGGCUUGCGGGACGGGGUCCCAGAGAGGCCGGUCCACGCGGCCCGCACGCGCGAGUGUUAGCUCUGCACACGACGGAAGGCGGAGGCGCGGGUGGCUGCCGUUUCACCUUAGAGGGAGGGAGGGAAACGUGUCCUGAUUUCUGCACCUAAGAUGGAGUCUCGCUCUGUUGCCAGGCUGGAGUGCAGUGGCACGAUUUUGGCUCACUGCAACCUCUGCCUCCUGGAUUCAAGUGAUCCUCCUGCCUCAGACUCCCAAGACUGAGACUACAGCUGUGUGCCACCACACCUGGCUAAUUUUGUAUUUUUUAGUAGAGACAGGGUUUCACCAUGUUGGCCAGGAUAGUCUCGAUCUCCUGACCUCGUGAUGCACCCGUCUCGGCCUCCCAAAGUGCUGGGAUUACAGGUGUGAGCCACCGUGCCUGGUUGGAACUUCUUAGAGAUUGAUUUAGUGGUUGUGACCAAAAUGCUGAUAGAAAUAUAGACAAUAAAGGUCAUGCUGAGGAAGUCUCAGAUGGAAAUGAAGAACUUAUUGAAAACUGGAGCAAAGGUCACCCUUGUUAAACAGUAGCAAAGAACUUGGCUGCAUUGUGUCUAGGCCCUAUGGCUUUAUAGAAGGCUGAACUUAAGAAUGAUGACCUAGGGUAUCUGGCAGAAGAAAUUGCUAAGCAACAAAGUACUCAAGAAGUGGUGUGGCUACUUUUAAAAGCCUAUGCUAAAUUAUGGGAGCUAAGGAAUGACUAGAAAGUGGAAUUUAUAAUUAAAAGGGAAGCAAAGUGUAAAAAUUUGGAAAUUUCAUAGCCUGGCCAUGUGAUAGAGAAGGAAAGAGCAUUUGUAGGCAAGGAAUCCAAGAGUUUGAGGAAUCUGAGGGUGCUACAGAGCAACCAUUGCUAAAGAGAUUAGUGUGACUAAACCAGAGCCAAGUGUUACUAGUCAAGACGAUGUGAAAAAGGCCCUGAAGGCAUUUCAGAAAACUUUGAGGCUGACCCCUCCAUCAUAGGCCCAGAAUCCUAGGAUGACAGAAUGGUUUGGGUAGAGGACAGGCCUAGAGACUGCUCCCCUGUGACCAGUCUGCUGCUUCCUGUAUCCCCACCACUCCGGAUGGCACAGCCAUGGCUCACAUGGCCUCAGUGGCCCCAGGUGUGAGUCAUGUCACAGCUCUGGAGGGCAUAAGCCAUAAGUCUUGCUGGUGUCUACACAGUAUUAAGUCUGCAGGUGCCCAGAAUGCAAAAGUCAUGGAGGCUUGGCAGCUUCCACUUAGAUUUCAGAGGAUGUAUUGGAAAGCCUGGAUGCCCAGGCAGAAGUCUGCUGCGGGGCAGAGCCAACACAGAGUGUCCUCUCUGGGGUAAUGCCUAGGGGAGCCAUGGGAUUGGGGCUGCUGCUGCAAGGACCCAAGAAUUAUAGUCAUCAGCAGUGUGCAGCCUCAGCCUGGAAAAGCCAUGGGCAUUCAACUCCAACCUGUGAGAGCAGCCAGUGGCCUUGGGAGUAGGGCUGCUUGAGACUGUGGGAGUCCACUCCUCAUACCAGUGUACCCAGGAUGCAAGACAUACAGUCAAGGAUUAUUUUGGAGCUUUAAAAUUUAACAUCUGUCCUGCUGGGUUUUGGACUUGAUGGGGACUGUUACUCCUUUUUUUUUGGAAUGAUUUCUCCCUUUUGGGAUGGGACUGUUUAUCCAAUACAUGUACCACCAUUGUAUCUUGGAAGGAAACAACUUGUUUUUGAUUUCACAGUUAAUUCGCCUUGAGUCUCAGAUGGGACUUUGGAUUUUGAAGUUGAUGCUGGAACAAGUUAAGACUUUUGGAACUAUUGAGAAGGGAUGAUUAUAUUUUGCAGCAUGAAGAAGACAUGAGUUUUGGGGGGCCAGGGGAGGAAUGCUAUGGUUUGGAUGUUUGUCUCCCCAAAUCACAUGUUGAAAUUUGAUCCCAAUGUUAGAGGUGAGACCUAGUGGCGGGUGUUUGAGUCAGAGGGUGGACUUAUGAAUAGAUUAAUACCCUCCUAUGGUGCAGGGCAUGAAUACAAUUCUUACUCUGUUGGUUCUUUUAAGAGCUGGUUGUUAUAAAGAGCCUGGCACCUCCCCACUCUCUCUCUUGCUUCGCUUCUUGCCAUGUGAUCUCUACAUACACCGGCUUCCCUUUGCCUUCUGCCAUGAGUAGAAGCAGCCUAAGGGCCUCACAUGCAGAUGCAGGUUCCAUGCUUCUUGUGCACUCUGCAAAACCAAAUAAAUCUCUUUAUGAAUUACCCAGCCUCAGGUAUUCC